rnacentral:sRNA from 1 species
UGCUGGGUAGAAAGGUGGCUGGCUUAGCAGAGGACAAACGAAUUAAUCUUGCACCAGUCACUCUGGCCCAAGAAGCCUAUAGCUGGUGCACUUGGGGCAACAUAGACCCUAUAGACUUAGUAGCAAUGAUAGUAUUCAUAAUAAUAGCUAAUGCUUACUGAACACUCCCUGUGUGCCUGGUACCUGCUAAGUAUGUUAUUUACAUUGUGUCAUUUAAUCCUCGCAGUAGUCCUGUGGGGUAGAUCUUAUUAAUGUCAUCAUUUUCAGAUAAGUAAACAGAGGCACUGAGAGGUAGAUCAUAAGAUCACACAAAAAGUGAUGAAGCCAAGAUGUGAACUUGAACGGUCUCAGAAAUCUUUACUGUUAACCAUCAGUGAUAUAAUAACAGUAAGACCUUAGACUUCAUAUUUGUCACUGUGUCCCUACACAUCCUCUGGUUUUUAAUCCUCAAAAUUUUGUUGGAUAUGUUUUCUCAUUUCCAAGAAGAGAAAACUGAGGGGCAAAGAAAUACAGUGACAAUGCCAGGGUUACACAGUGUUCACCAUCCAAGUCUAGCCCAGAGCUCCCUCAGUGGUAUGACCAGGACCCCCUGUGUAAGAGCCCAUGCUCCGAGGUGUCCUGAGGAGUCCUUUCUAAUGGAAGAAGUUCUUACUUCCAUGUUGGUGCUUACAAGCCAGAGAAAAACAUCCUAGAGCUUCAAAACCAGGGCUUCGGGGGAGGGUGCCCUGUGUGGGUCCUAGCACAUGUGUAACAGGCAGAGGGAGGUCUUUGUGAGCUAAUAAUGCUGCAGCUCAUCCGAACUAGGUGUCCCUCCUGAGAGCUCCAGAGUGGUCUGUUUAAGCCAGCCUCAAGACGGGUCAGUCCAAGCCAGAUGUCAGGGGGACAAGGGGAAGUCAGCCUUUUCUCAGACCUGUCUGGCUGGGCAGGCCUGGGUCUCAGACUCAGCCCCAAAGUCUGUGGUCUCUGAGCUGACACAGCGUCAUGUGUAUGUGUGUGUUGUUCAGGAGGAGAUGAUCUUCCAGAUCCCAUGGAAGCAUGCUGCCAAGCAUGGCUGGGACAUCAACAAGGAUGCCUGUUUGUUCCGGAGCUGGGCCAUUCACACAGGCCGAUACAAAGCAGGGGAAAAGGAGCCAGAUCCCAAGACGUGGAAGGCCAACUUUCGCUGUGCCAUGAACUCCCUGCCAGAUAUCGAGGAGGUGAAAGACCAGAGCAGGAACAAGGGCAGCUCAGCUGUGCGAGUAUACCGGAUGCUUCCACCUCUCACCAAGAACCAGAGAAAAGGUAUCCAAGGACUCUGGGUCCUUGGGAAUCCCUCAGGGAGGGAGGGUAGAAGAAGGUCAGCUGGGGCUGGAGAGCCUGCACCAAGGCUGACAGCCUGUCUGCCCCACAGAAAGAAAGUCGAAGUCCAGCCGAGAUGCUAAGAGCAAGGCCAAGAGGAAGGUGAGUGUGGUCCUAAGCAGCCAGGUCACCUGUGGGCCAGGGUGAGCAGCGGAAGAAAUGCUAAGGUGGCCCUGGGCCUAAGCUGCUUUCUCCCUCCACAGUCAUGUGGGGAUUCCAGCCCUGAUACCUUCUCUGAUGGACUCAGCAGCUCCACUCUGCCUGAUGACCACAGCAGCUACACAGUUCCAGGCUACAUGCAGGACUUGGAGGUGGAGCGGGCCCUGACUCCAGGUGAGCUGGUCCAGGUCUGGCAGGGGACUCCACAGGUCAGUGGGAUGACUCCUUCUCUUGGAGGCAUGGUGCUGGCAUAUGGUGGCCCAUUAGUGCAGGCUGCAGGGUUUGGGGGCGGGGGGGUGGGGGGCGGGCGCUCGAUGUCUUGCAAACUAAGAAAGCACACAGCCUUGACCUGUGGCUUCUGCUGUCCCCCAGCACUGUCACCGUGUGCUGUCAGCAGCACUCUCCCCGACUGGCACAUCCCAGUGGAAGUUGUGCCGGACAGCACCAGUGAUCUGUACAACUUCCAGGUGUCACCCAUGCCCUCCACCUCUGAAGGUUGGUGCUCCUGGGGCCUGGCCUGCCUGCUUGACUGUCUGGGUCCUGUGAAGGGCUUCCUGAGAGAGAAAAGAUGCUCAGAACUCCACCUGGCACUGAGCUGAUUGAGUUGGGCAUUGCCCAGUCUUAGCCACCAUAGGGGGAGGCAAGCGAUGGGGACACUAGGAAGGCAGUUCAGAGUGGGCUGCAGCACAGUGGGGGCUGGUGAGAGGAGGGAAGGGGGCCAGGGGCUGCAUUUUGGGAUGCUGGUUCUCCUUCCUCCUCUGUAGCCCAGCAUCUGAAGGUGAGGAAGGAAGUGGGGUGGGGGUGGGAAGAGGCGUGGCUUCAGGUUUGAGAGGCUGAGUCACCAGGCCAGUGUCCUGUUCUGGAAUCUACAUGGCAGACAGGUACACCGGGAGGGUGUGUGUGUGUGUGUGUGUGUGUGUGUCACAGAGAGAGAGACAGACAGACAAAGGGCAGGGGGAUCUGGUGGGCUGGAACUGGAACUGCAGGGUGAGUGUGGCUGACUGCCAGCCAACCUCUGCUUUCCCCAUCCACAGCUACAACAGAUGAGGAUGAGGAAGGGAAAUUACCUGAGGACAUCAUGAAGGUAAAGCCCCUUCCUACCUGGGCACUCUUGAAGUGACCGUUUCUCAGUGAGGAGAGAGAACCAGUGAAGCUUCCAAAUCAGAGGAUGGGUAGCUGCUGUUGUCACCUGGCUGCUUGCAUCGUCCCACAAGUGCCACAUUCACGUGGCUUGACUGGUGGGAAAGCCUCCAUGGGAAGGGAAGGCAGGUGGGAGGCCUGGCCUCUGACAGGCCAUCCUGAAGCAAGCCUUGGGGCAUCAGACAGCUCUGUGAGUCAGGCACUAUGAGCGAUGGGUCCCUGGCCUGCAUCCUCCGCCCCAACAUGCCCCAGCCCUGCUAGUUCGGGAAAUGCACAUCAGGUUUCAAUAAUCAGCCUUUAGGAUCCGUUAAUAUGAUGAUGGCUUUAUAGAAAAAGUUAGCAAGUUACCCUCCAGGUUUUUUUUUUCUGCUUCAGUUUUGAAAGUGAAUAUAAAGAAGUUUUUUGCAGCCGGGGGCAGUGGCUCAUGCCUGUAAUCCCAGCACUUUGGAAGGCCAAGGUGGGUGGAUCACCUGAGGUCAGGAGUUCGAGACCAGCCUGACUAACAUGGUGAAACCCAUCUCUACCAAAAAUAUAAAAAUUAGCUGGGCCUGGUGGCGCAUGCCUGUAAUCCCAGAUACUCUGAAGGCUGAGGCAGGAGAAUCGCUUGAACCUGAGAGGCGGAGGUUGCAGUGAGCUGAGAUUGUGUCAUUGCACUCCAGCCUGGGCAACAAGAGCGAAACUCCAUUUCAAAAAAAAGUUUUUGCAGUAGUUGUAUGCCAGCUGUUCCAUCAGCCCAAAAAAUUGAGACAUGGACGUAGUUCCUUAUCUCUAGCUUUUCUAGUCAUCUUUUCUUGAUUUGUUAUGCUAACCUUUGUUUUAAGCCACAUUCCCUCUUACUAUGUCCUUACACAGUUGAGAGGGAAGUCGUGGAGAUACUAUACCAGAGAGUGGGUGUGAGAGGGGUGGGAAAAUGAAUUGAGGACCAGUGCCAACAUGCAUUUCUGCCUCCUCCCUUCUGGGCCCUUUUCCUGACUGCAGUGCACUUCUGCAUCCUAUCUGAGAUUGUGAAAAUGGCCAAGGGUGUGAUCCUGGCUGAGAGGAGCUGGCUCAUUGAGGGCAGGGCCACAGGGUGAGUCUGCACUGGAGGGAGUUGAUAGCCUCUUGCUCUUCUGUCCCCAGCUCUUGGAGCAGUCGGAGUGGCAGCCAACAAACGUGGAUGGGAAGGGGUACCUACUCAAUGAACCUGGAGUCCAGCCCACCUCUGUCUAUGGAGACUUUAGCUGUAAGGAGGAGCCAGAAGUUGACAGCCCAGGGGGUAAGAAGGCCCUAGAUCCUUAUGGCUUCUUAGAGGAGGGAGAACCACGUAGGGAUGGAGAAAGCUUGGGGGCAGGGCCAGGGAGCAGGGCGGUAAAGCACCUGGGGUACUGACACAUUGUGAAUUAGCUACUGCUGCCAUGCCUUAAGGUUUGCCUGAAGCUGAGUGGAUGUUUACUGCUGUGCUGGGAAGAGCAGAGUCCAUGUCUAUGGCCUUCAGGGGUAGGGGGAAGCACACCUUAUGCCACCGUCCCCUACCCUCAUACAACCUUCUUCACAUCUUCUAGGGGAUAUUGGGCUGAGUCUACAGCGUGUCUUCACAGAUCUGAAGAACAUGGAUGCCACCUGGCUGGACAGCCUGCUGACCCCAGUCCGGUUGCCCUCCAUCCAGGCCAUUCCCUGUGCACCGUAGCAGGGCCCCUGGGCCCCUCUUACUCCUCUAGGCGAGCAGGACCUGGCAUCAUGGUGGAUAUGGUGCAGAGAAGCUGUACUUCUGUGGGUCCCUCAACAGCCAAGUGUGACCCCACUGCCAAGUGGGGAUGGGGCCUCCCUCCUUGGGUCAUUGACCUCUCAGGGCCUGGCAGGCCAGUGUCUGGGUUUUUCUUGUGGGGUAAAGCUGGCCCUGCCUCCCAGAAAGAUGAGGUUCUGAGACCAGUGUGUCAGGUCAGGGACUUGGAUAGGAGUCAGUGUCUGGCUUUUUCCUCUGAGCCCAGCUGCCUGGAGAGGGUCUCGCUGUCACUGGCUGGCUCCUAGGGGAACAGACCAGUGACCCCAGAAAAGCAUAACACCAAUCCCAGGGCUGGCUCUGCACUAAGAGAAAAUUGCACUAAAUGAAUCUCGUUCCCAAAGAACUACCCUCUUUUCAGCUGAGCCCUGGGGACCGUUCCAAAGCCAGUGAAAUGUGAAGGAAAGUGGGGUCCUUCGGGGCGAUGCUCCCUCAGCCUCAGAGGAGCUCUACCCUGCUCCCUGCUUUGGCUGAGGGGCUUGGGAAAAAAACUUGGCACUUUUUCGUGUGGAUCUUGCCACAUUUCUGAUCAGAGGUGUACACUAACAUUUCCCCCGAGCUCUUGGCCUUUGCAUUUAUUUAUACAGUGCCUUGCUCGGCGCCCACCACCCCCUCAAGCCCCACAAGCCCUCAACAGGCCCAGGGAGGGAAGUGUGAGCGCCUUGGUAUGACUUAAAAUUGGAAAUGUCAUCUAACCAUUAAGUCACGUGUGAACACAUAAGGACGUUUGUAAAUAUGUACAUUUGUCUUUUUAUAAAAAGUAAAUUGUUUAU